UACGAAGGGGGCUAGCGUUGUUCGGAAUUACUGGGCGUAAAGCGUGCGUAGGUGGUUUUUUAAGUCCGUUGUGAAAGCCCUGGGCUCAACCUGGGAAUGGCAGUGGAUACUGGAAAGCUAGAGUGCGGUAGAGGGUAGUGGAAUUCCCGGUGUAGCAGUGAAAUGCGUAGAGAUCGGGAGGAACACCAGUGGCGAAGGCGGCUACCUGGACCAGCACUGACACUGAGGCACGAAAGCGUGGGGAGCAAACAGG
rnacentral:rRNA from 1 species